AAAAACUUAGUUAAAUAAUAACAUUAGCUUGUCAGACUAAAAUUAUCUUUAAAGAUAGUUUUUA
rnacentral:tRNA from 1 species